UACGUAGGCAGCAAGCGUUGUUCGGAGUUACUGGGCGUAAAGGGUGCGUAGGCGGCUUUUUAAGUCUGGUGUGAAAUCUCCCGGCUCAACUGGGAGGGUGCGCCGGAUACUGAGGGGCUAGAGUGUGGGAGAGGAAAGUGGAAUUCCUGGUGUAGCGGUGAAAUGCGUAGAUAUCAGGAGGAACACCGGUGGUGUAAACGGCUUUCUGGACCAUAACUGACGCUGAGGCACGAAAGCUAGGGGAGCAAACAGG
rnacentral:rRNA from 1 species